rnacentral:rRNA from 1 species
CUGUAAGACUGGGAUAACUCCGGGAAACCGGAGCUAAUACCGGAUAGUUCCUUGAACCGCAUGGUUCAAGGAUGAAAGACGGUUUCGGCUGUCACUUACAGAUGGACCCGCGGCGCAUUAGCUAGUUGGUGAGGUAACGGCUCACCAAGGCGACGAUGCGUAGCCGACCUGAGAGGGUGAUCGGCCACACUGGGACUGAGACACGGCCCAGACUCCUACGGGAGGCAGCAGUAGGGAAUCUUCCGCAAUGGACGAAAGUCUGACGGAGCAACGCCGCGUGAGUGAUGAAGGUUUUCGGAUCGUAAAGCUCUGUUGUUAGGGAAGAACAAGUGCAAGAGUAACUGCUUGCACCUUGACGGUACCUAACCAGAAAGCCACGGCUAACUACGUGCCAGCAGCCGCGGUAAUACGUAGGUGGCAAGCGUUGUCCGGAAUUAUUGGGCGUAAAGGGCUCGCAGGCGGUUUCUUAAGUCUGAUGUGAAAGCCCCCGGCUCAACCGGGGAGGGUCAUUGGAAACUGGGAAACUUGAGUGCAGAAGAGGAGAGUGGAAUUCCACGUGUAGCGGUGAAAUGCGUAGAGAUGUGGAGGAACACCAGUGGCGAAGGCGACUCUCUGGUCUGUAACUGACGCUGAGGAGCGAAAGCGUGGGGAGCGAACAGGAUUAGAUACCCUGGUAGUCCACGCCGUAAACGAUGAGUGCUAAGUGUUAGGGGGUUUCCGCCCCUUAGUGCUGCAGCUAACGCAUUAAGCACUCCGCCUGGGGGAGUACGGUCGCAAGACUGAAACUCAAAGGAAUUGACGGGGGCCCGCACAAGCGGUGGAGCAUGUGGUUUAAUUCGAAGCAACGCGAAGAACCUUACCAGGUCUUGACAUCCUCUGACAACCCUAGAGAUAGGGCUUUCCCUUCGGGGACAGAGUGACAGGUGGUGCAUGGUUGUCGUCAGCUCGUGUCGUGAGAUGUUGGGUUAAGUCCCGCAACGAGCGCAACCCUUGAUCUUAGUUGCCAGCAUUCAGUUGGGCACUCUAAGGUGACUGCCGGUGACAAACCGGAGGAAGGUGGGGAUGACGUCAAAUCAUCAUGCCCCUUAUGACCUGGGCUACACACGUGCUACAAUGGACAGAACAAAGGGCUGCGAGACCGCAAGGUUUAGCCAAUCCCACAAAUCUGUUCUCAGUUCGGAUCGCAGUCUGCAACUCGACUGCGUGAAGCUGGAAUCGCUAGUAA